AGAUAGAACAUCUAAUGUCCUCAAUCGAUCAAUACGAUCAAUACGCUCAGUGUCCAUUGGGACAAGACGUCUUCCUCCACAAACUCAGACUGGAACCGGGACCAGUAUCCUGCCUGAGAUCAACUACAGCCGGCAGGUCCUGCUCGUCGCCUGGCUCCGUGCCGUCUCACCCGUCUCACCUGUCCCACCUGCUGAGACGUGAGCAGGAGGAGGCCAAAGGUGAAGAUGCCUCCGAUCGUAGACGCUGCAGGACCUCCACAUAUCUGGGGAAAUGUGUCUGCAGCAGGUGG
ensembl:lncRNA